CUUUGUAAUAGCCAAUUGCUUUGUGAUUUGCUACACCUUACCCCAAAAGCCAACGUCAAAGACGAAUUUGUGCGACGGAAUCCCACGGCUUUGUUUCUUUUUUGUUGUUGCUCAACAUAAACUUUUCCUUGAAAUGUUGAGAAGGCAAAACUAAUUAAAUGCGGAUAAUUGCUUUUUUGUAUCAUUAAAUGUAUUAAAAGAAUUUUUCUUUUAUCGUUUUUAGAUUCUUUUUUUUCAUGCUUUGUAUUUUGUUGUGUGAGCCUUGUACAUUGUAAAGGCAGGGGAACAACAAGGAUAAAUAGCGAGCGACAGAAAAUGUUAUUAAUGUCAAAGCAACGGACGCACCAUGGAGGUUUACAGAAAGAAUGUUUUAGAGACAGCAGUUUACUGUACAAAUCGCAAAAAAGGCGGCAAAAGGUUGACACUUUGCGAAUUAAGUUUAUCUAGCUAAUCAUAGCACAUAGUUGAGCCAUUACUGCAAAUUUCGGGGCAAACUGAUAGCAAUGUCAUCUUCUGCAGAUAUUUGAGCAAAUAACAGGCCAACGCAGAUGCCAAUGGGGUGAUACGGAUAGAAUAUCCACUUAUGACCCCAAACGCCUAUCAUCG